rnacentral:rRNA from 1 species
CACGUAGGGCGCGAGCGUUGUCCGGAAUUAUUGGGCGUAAAGAGCUCGUAGGCGGUCUGUCACGUCGGCUGUGAAAACCCGAGGCUCAACCUCGGGCCUGCAGUCGAUACGGGCAGACUAGAGUUCGGUAGGGGAGACUGGAAUUCCUGGUGUAGCGGUGAAAUGCGCAGAUAUCAGGAGGAACACCGGUGGCGAAGGCGGGUCUCUGGGCCGAAACUGACGCUGAGGAGCGAAAGCGUGGGGAGCGAACAGG